rnacentral:rRNA from 1 species
UGGCUCAGGACGAACGCUGGCGGCGUGCUUAACACAUGCAAGUCGAACGGAGAUUUUUAUUUCGGUAAAGAUCUUAGUGGCAAACGGGUGAGUAACGCGUAGGCAACCUGCCUUUCCGAUGGGGACAACAGUUCGAAAGGACUGCUAAUACCGAAUGAUGUAUAUCUUCCGCAUGGAGGACAUACCAAAGACGGCCUCUAUUUAUAAGCUGUCACGGAAAGAUGGGCCUGCGUCUGAUUAGCCAGUUGGCGGGGUAAUGGCCCACCAAAGCGACGAUCAGUAGCCGGUCUGAGAGGAUGAACGGCCACAUUGGGACUGAGACACGGCCCAAACUCCUACGGGAGGCAGCAGUGGGGAAUCUUCCGCAAUGGACGAAAGUCUGACGGAGCAACGCCGCGUGAGUGAAGAAGGUUUUCGAAUCGUAAAGCUCUGUUGUCAGGGACGAGCAGGGGGAGUAUCAACAACACUUCCUCAUGACGGUACCUGACGAGGAAGCCACGGCUAACUACGUGCCAGCAGCCGCGGUAAUACGUAGGUGGCGAGCGUUGUCCGGAAUUAUUGGGCGUAAAGGGAGCGCAGGUGGGAAAGUAAGUCUGCUUUAAAAGUGCGGGGCUCAACCCCGUGAGGGAGUGGAAACUAUUUUUUCUUGAGUGCAGGAGAGGAAAGCGGAAUUCCUAGUGUAGCGGUUGAAAUGCGUAGAUAUUAGGAGGAACACCAGUGGGCGGAGGCGGCUUUCUGGACUGUAACUGACACUGAGGCUCGAAAGCCAGGGGAGCGAACGGGAUUAGAUACCCCGGUAGUCCUGGCCGUAAACGAUGGAUACUAGGUGUAGGAGGUAUCGACCCCUUCUGUGCCGGAGUUAACGCAAUAAGUAUCCCGCCUGGGGAGUACGAUCGCAAGAUUGAAACUUAAAGGAAUUGACGGA